UUUCUCCUUUCCCUCUGCCCUAGCCGCUUUCUCUCUCCCUCUUCUUUACGCCCUAGCCGCUUUCUCUCUCUGCAACUGCGAUGCACCCCAGUUUCAUCUCUUAUGAUCGAUUGAUAAUCAGGAAGGAGAGCUUGGGAGGCCAAGAUUCAAGGGUUCCGGGAUUUGGUGGUCUCAGAGAGUGAGGUGGUGGAGAUAUCUUGGUGAUCUGCACUUCGUUGGAUAAGUGCAGGGAGAUCAAGAGGCUUCUCCACUGGGAGGUUUAGAUGGGUGAUCUAAUCAGUGAUCCUUCGACCCUUCAACCCUCAUUGGACCAUUCGAUUAAUGGACAAAAUUUUGGGUAAGCGAAUGUGCAUAAUGAUGUUAGCACUUCUAGUAACCUUGAUUCCGUGAGGGCUGAUUUGGGUUGGAACCCAAGUGCAAUGCUGUGAGGGGGUACGUUCAUGCCGCCUGUUUCUGGUAUGCUGUCUAACUUUCCAGCUGAUUCUGGUUUCAUCGAGAGGGCAGCGAGACUUUCGUGCUUCAGAAGGGGGAAUUUUGGUGAAAUAAUGAACCCAUUUGUUGUUCCUAAUCCGCUGGAUCUGUUCCUAUGGGACAUAGGCGUUUAUGGAGUAUUUUAUUUACACAUUGCAACAAAAAUGUGCAGCUUAAUCUUUUGUAAUUUGAUUCAGUGUGUUUGCAUUUACUUAUUCAAAUAAGUGAUUAAAAAUAUUUUUUUA